GUCAAUCACUCCGCCCUAAAGGGCGAGGCUUGUGGUGGAUGAAACCGCAAGUCUGGGUUGACCAGCCCAAGCCGUACCCAACCGGCUACGUUGCGAACAGGUUUAAAACCUACUGCUCCAACCGGGCUGAGUU
rnacentral:sRNA from 19 species